UACAGAGGUCCCAAGCGUUGUUCGGAUUCACUGGGCGUAAAGGGUGCGUAGGUGGUGAGGUAAGUCGGAUGUGAAAUCUCGGAGCUCAACUCCGAAAUGGCAUUGGAAACUGCCUUGCUAGAGGGUUGGAGGGGGGACUGGAAUUCUCGGUGGAGCAGUGAAAUGCGUAGAUAUCGAGAGGAACACCGGUGGCGAAGGCGAGUCCCUGGACAACUCCUGACACUGAGGCACGAAAGCUAGUGGAGCAACCAGG
rnacentral:rRNA from 1 species